CGUCUCUUAAGAUAACGCAGUCAAAACAGAAUCCAGCUUCAAUGGACAGACAAAAUGAAGGAUUUCUUCAUACAGCACCUUGUUAAACAGUGGAAUUGUCAGCCAAAGGAAGCAGUGUCAGCCACCAACUUGGACAGCUGGGGAGACAGAUUCAUGGAGGAUCAAGGUUGCACAAUUCAUUUUAGCUUCCCUUUCCUAAGGCGUCAAGAAAUAG